rnacentral:lncRNA from 1 species
CAAGGUCACAUCCAGACCAAGUAUGAGUCUACUGUUGUGCUACACUUCAACCCCUUGAUCUUCUAAAAACUCUCUCCCCAGGCAUUGGAACACACAAGGCCUGCACUACUCAUGGUGUGGCUGCCAACGUGGCAUCAUCACCAUCGCCAUGGAGUUUGCUGGACAUGUGAAUCCUUGGAUCCAUCCUAAGUGUUCUAUAUGGGCAUCUACAUUUUAAAGAAAAUCCGAGGUAAUUCUGCGCGUCAAAGUUCGAGGAGCACAAUCCACGUCAUUGAUGAAGACAAACACAGAAAGCAGGAUGCGUUUGCCUUUCUAAGCACCCAGUCUGGCUGAGACAGCGCCAGCAUGAUGGGAAUAAAUCUUGGAAUCUGCUGCCACCUUGAGGUGAAGCUCCCACCUAGCCGAAUUUGCUCUUCUCCCUGUAAUAGAUGCAGAAAGAUGGGAUUGGCUGAGUCAGAUUCUCAACUUUUUCAGCCUUGUGCUUUAAGGGACCACUGCAAAAUUCCAAGAUGUAAUGGAAUAGCCCCUGGAGUGCAUGGUCUUUUCCUGUGGGUGUCCUUCGGGCCACAAAGCAUCCUCCAACCCCCACUGACAGAUCCACCAGAAGCAACAGACCAUUUGUCUUCCUAUAGGUUCUUUCCCCUUUGGAAUUCAGACGUGUGCAUCUUGCAGGAGCCCCUGGAGCCCGGGCCUCCCGCCCAGCCGAGGAGGAGGCGGCGCUCGCAGGGCGCAACUAUACAGCUGGAUGUUGUAGAAGCGGAGACAGAGGAGAUAACCCAAGGAAAUGCACUCCUCAGGGCCCGGAGAACCACCAAGCGAUUAUCUGUGACGUCUCUGCCGUCAGGGCUGCAAAAGGUAUCAUAUUCAUCAAAAAAGAGACCAUAUUUUCCGGUGCUUAAAAAAAAGAAACGUGGCAUGGAAAACAUCCUCCAAAAAUCAGAUCUGACAAUAGGAAAGCUUCAAAUGCAGGUGGACGACCUUAUCGAAACAGUGACUGAUAAAUCCAUGAAGCUGUUGGCUCAGAGACACGCCGAGCUUCAGCAGUGUGAGUUUCUAGGAGAUGAAAUUCUUCAGUCUUCUAAGCAGUUCCAGAGGAUGUCCAAGAGAACCACGAGGAAGUACAAACUGAAAAAUGUGUGCUUCCCCUGUACCUGCUGCUGCUGA